rnacentral:rRNA from 1 species
AAUGAACGUUGGCGGCGUGGAUUAGGCAUGCAAGUCGUACGAGAAUCGUAGCAAUACGAGGAAAGUGGCGGAAGGGAGAGGAUUACGUGGGAAUCUACCCUCAGAACUGGGAUAGCGGCGGGAAACUGCCGGUAAUACCAGAUAAUGUCUGUGGACCAAAGGUGUGAUUCCGUCUGGGGAUGAGCCCACGUCCUAUUAGCUAGUUGGCAGGGUAAUGGCCUACCAAGGCAAUGAUGGGUAGCGGGUGUGAGAGCAUGACCCGCCUCACUGGGACUGAGAACUGCUCAGACACCUACGGGUGGCUGCAGUCGAGAAUCUUCGGCAAUGAGCGCAAGCUUGACCGAGCGACGCCGCGUGCGGGAUGAAGGCCUUCGGGUUGUAAACCGCUGUCGUAGGGGAGCAAGAGAUGAGGGUACUCCCUCUGAUUUGAGCGAUCCUAGGAGGAAGGACGGGCUAAGUUCGUGCCAGCCGCCGCGGUAACAC